UACAGAGGGUGCAAGCGUUAAUCGGAAUUACUGGGCGUAAAGCGUGCGUAGACGGUUACAUAAGUCAGAUGUGAAAGCCCCGGGCUCAACCUGGGAAUUGCAUUCGAGACUGCAUAGCUAGGGUGCGGAAGAGGGAAGCGGAAUUUCCGGUGUAGCGGUGAAAUGCGUAGAUAUCGGAAGGAACACCAGUGGCGAAAGCGGCUUCCUGGUCCAGCACCGACGUUCAGGCACGAAAGCGUGGGGAGCAAACAGG
rnacentral:rRNA from 1 species